AUUGAACGCUGGCGGCAGGCCUAACACUUGCAAGUCGAGCGAGCGGCGGACGGGUGAGUAAUGUAUGGGGACUGCCCGAUAGAGGGGGAUAACUACUGGAAACGGUGGCUAAUACCGCCUACUGUCGGAUAACCUAUAUGGGAUUAGAUAGUAGGUAAGGUAAUGGCUGACCUAGGCGACGAUCCCUAGCGGGUCUGAGAGUAUGAUCAGCCACACUGGGACGGAGACACGGCCCAGACUCCUACGGAGGCAGCAGUGGGGAAUAUUGCACAAUGGGCGCAAGCCUGAUGCAGCCAUGCCGCGUGUAUGAAGAAGGCCCUAGGGUUGUAAAGUACUUUCAGUCGGGAGGCGUUACCGACAGAAGAAGCACCGGCUAACUCCGUGCCAGCCGCCGCGGUAAUUC
rnacentral:rRNA from 1 species